rnacentral:rRNA from 1 species
AACGAACGCUGGCGGCAUGCCUAACACAUGCAAGUCGAACGAGACCUUCGGGUCUAGUGGCGCACGGGAGCGUAACGCGUGGGAACCUGCCCUUAGGUUCGGAAUAACUCCCCGAAAGGGGUGCUAAUACCGGAUAAUGUCUUCGGACCAACGAUUUAUCGCCUUUGGAUGGGCCCGCGUUGGAUUAGCUAGUUGGUAGGGUAAAAGCCUACCAAGGCGACGAUCCAUAGCUGGUCUGAGAGGAUGAUCAGCCACACUGGGACUGAGACCCGGCCCAGACUCCUACGGGAGGCAGCAGUGGGGAAUAUUGGACGAUGGGCGAAAGCCUGAUCCAGCAAUGCCGCGUGAGUGAUGAAGGCCUUAGGGUUGUAAAGCUCUUUUACCCGGGAUGAUAAUGACAGUACCGGGAGAAUAAGCUCCGGCUAACUCCGUG